GGAUAUGAGUGAUAACACUAAAAUUAGAUGUAGGAAAAUACAGUUAAUAAAACAGGAACGGGUUUUAUUUUAUGUUUAAAUGAGUACUUUAUUGUUUUUUUCUCCUAAUUUGGGAUAAAGGCUAAAUAUGUAGCAGCCGCUUUGUGGCAGAACUGUUUGUAUAGUCGUACUUCGCCGAUCCGAAACAAGUGAAAUACACAUGGAAUCAUUCCUCACUUGAAACAGUUUGGCUCAAUGGCGGGAAAGCCUCAAAGUAAUAAUAAAUUGCAAUUCAGUAGCCUAAGUGAGUGAAAUGUUGAAACAGUAUAACCGUUGAAGAUGGACUGACAGGCUGAUUAAAACAUGUAAAUCAUUUUGAACAUUUCAUCAAAAGAACUGUGUUUGGAGCGAUAUCGCCAGUUCAUCAGUAGGGGGAGCCAGUUCUUUGGGAAAUAUCAUUAGAUCCAUUCGACUCUGGCUUUGGAGAGCACUGCUGGCUUUGGCCAUUGCUAUGAAUAAGAUAAACAAAGACCUAUGCAACCAUAGAAACAACACUGGCAGUAGUAUCACACAUCACUCUGCUAAUAAAGGCUCCAAAGCAGGAAAAAACCCC